UUGUUACCAUGGACUACAUUGGCACUUGUAAUCUUUUUAUUCCUAAAAUGCCAUUACUCUGCCUUAGCUUCAGGUAAAGAAGCUCCUGUCACAAAUCAUUUGAAAUAAUGACUUCCCAGUUUCAUGCUUGUGAUCGUGUUGUUUGCUGCAGUAGUUUAGAUAUUAUGUUUGAACGGAGCUUCAAAUUCCCCUUUUCUCUUCUCUCAGCAUUUGUUUUUGUAAAAGUUCAGGUCACCACUGCUCUUGGCUGAUGUGUAGAUGUGAUGUGACUUGUUCUUAAUGCCAGCAUAUAGAUUAAACAUGUGCCUGUGUGUGUGCAGAGGUGCGUGCGGGAGAUAGGAGGGUGUGUUGCCGUGUAUGAUCCACUUUUGUCCUUAGAUGAUCUUUUUCUUUUCUUUUUCUUUUUUUUUUCAUUAGGGAUAAUUAUGUUCAGCCCUCAAGGUACACCAACUGAAAUAAGACUCUUAUUUGUGCUCACGAUUUGUAUGUAUGCACUACUGUGACAGGACUGCAAAGGACCAUAAAUCAAUAAAAAAAAAGUCGAAGUGCAUAAAAAUGAAAAGACACAAAAUCACCACAAAAAAAGGGAGAUAGGCCGCAUGGAAAUGCAAGGUGGCAAAAAGAGGGAAGUUUGUCUGCUCCUGCAUCCGUGGGUUUGAAUCUGCAGGUCCUGAAAAAUAAACACAUAAACAUUUGCGAAGUAUUCAGCUGUAAUUUUUUGGGGUCUUUUGCAUGUGGUUUUUGGAUGCGCUGCACAUCCGCAAACUAAAAUGAAGGCAGCAGUCAUGACUUUUUUUUAUUGACUUUCAGCCGCUGGGUCUUUUUUUUUUUUUUUCCCAACGCUGUUGCUACAACAGCCCCAAGAUCAUCAUCACAUCAUCAGACCCAAGAUUUGCUCCAAAAUGCAAAUGAAAUUUACUGUCAUGGUCCUGAGUCUGAGGACUCAGUGUUUGUGUUUCCUUAUGCUUUUGUUCAUUCCGAGUGUGUAUUCUGUUGUUAUUUUGCCAUUUGUUAGGUUUCUGUUCUUUGCCUGCCUGCUCCCACUUCUCUGUGUUCCCUCUGUCUGUCCAUGGUGUUAUUGUGUCUGCUCAUGAGUCUGCCUGUCAAGUUCAGUGUCCUGUCUGGUUCUCUGUCUGUUAAUUUCCUGUUUUAUUCUGAAGGUUCAUGUCUGAUGUGAGUGUGUUCAGUUUACAUUUCCCCUGUCCCGUCAGCUCUGAUUUCUCCCAGCUGUGUUGCCCUCCUGUCUCUUAUCCCCUGAUUACUGGUGUGUGUAUUUAAGCCCUGUGUGUUCUCCUGCCUGUUGCUGGUUUGUCUGUAUUACUCCAUGUAAGUCCGCGCUUUUCUGCAUUCAUCUAUGGCUCUCUGCGUUUUUGUAUCCUCCGUCAGUCUGCGUCUCUCUGCCUUUCACCCCGUGUCCUGUGGAUUUCUAGUUGCUCUUUAGUUUUCCCAGUUUAGGUUUCCGUUAGUUUGUCUCAUUAUUCGUUUUCUGUUCCUGCCACUGACACCUUGUAAAUAAACUCCACUAAUCUUUUCAUACACUGCUUGCUCUUGGGUCCUUUUUCCAACUCCACACGGCUCGCCUCGGCAGCCGUGACAGUACGAACUGGCCACUAUGGACCCAGCAGCAGUCAACCCGCCCGAGGAGCUCCGGGAGGAC
ensembl:lncRNA